GCCGGGGUAGUUCAGAUUGGUUAGAAUGCGUCUUUGGUAAGGACGAGACUUGGGUUCGAUGCCCAGCGCUGGCACCA
rnacentral:tRNA from 1 species